CAGUGUAGAGAUACUGGGAUAAGAGUACAGGUGGUUGUUAGAGAAUAAUUUGCACUGAGCAUGACUAAUACGAAAAAUGAUUUGGAUGUCUAUUCAUUCGUCAAUAAUUUUCUCGAUGCUGCAGUAGUGUGACUGAUCUUUCGACCUAUGAUGUAUUAGCUAUUCGCAGGGAGACUACUUAGUUUGACUGCAUGUUCUCUUGAUCCCUAGCCAUUCGAGUCCUUACUGUGUAUGUUGGCUAUUGUAGGUUUAAGUUCACUAUUUGGAGUAGGAUGUACUUAGAUA
rnacentral:lncRNA from 1 species